rnacentral:rRNA from 1 species
ACUCCUACGGGAGGCAGCAGUGGGGAAUAUUGCACAAUGGGCGCAAGCCUGAUGCAGCAACGCCGCGUGAGCGAUGAAGGCCUUCGGUCGUAAAGCUCUGUCCUCAAGGAAGAAUAAAUAGACGGUACUUGAGGAGGAAGCCCGGGCUAACUACGUGCCAGCAGCCGCGGUAAUACGUAGGGGGCAAGCGUUAUCCGGAAUCACUGGGGCGUAAAGGGGUGCGUAGGCGGUUUUCAAGUCAGAAGUGAAAGGCUAUGGCUCAACCAUAGUAAGCUUUUGAAACUGUUAAACUUGAGUGCAGGAGAGGAAAGUGGAAUUCCUAGUGUAGAGGUGAAAUUCGUAGAUAUUAGGAGGAACACCAGUGGCGAAGGCGACUUUCUGGACUGGUAACUGACGCUGAGGCACGAAAGCGUGGGGAGCGAACAGGAUUAGAUACGCUGGUAGCACAGAG